AAAGUCACUUUCCCUUCGGGGCAUUGGAGACAGGUGGUGCAUGGUUGUCGUCAGCUCGUGUCGUGAGAUGUUGGGUUAAGUCCCGCAACGAGCGCAACCCCUAUUUCCAGUAGCCAGCAAGAAAGAUGGGAACUCUGGAGAGACUGCCCGGGAUAACUGGGAGGAAGGCGGGGAUGACGUCAAAUCAUCAUGCCCCUUAUGAUCAGGGCUACACACGUGCUACAAUGGCGUAAACAAAGGGAAGCGAAGUGGUGACACGAAGCAAAUCCGAAAAACAACGUCUCAGUUCGGAUUGUAGUCUGCAACUCGACUACAUGAAGCUGGAAUCGCUAGUAAUCGCGAAUCAGAAUGUCGCGGUGAAUACGUUCCCGGGUCUUGUACACACCGCCCGUCACACCAUGGGAGUCGGAAAUGCCCGAAGUCAGUGACCCAACCGAGAGGAGGGAGCUGCCGAAGGUGGAGCCGGUAACUGGGGUGAAGUCGUAACAAGGUAGCCGUAUCGGAAGGUGCGGUUGGAUC
rnacentral:rRNA from 1 species